rnacentral:ribozyme from 1 species
AAAAAGAAAAAAAGAAAAAAAAUUGUGACACACAUGCAUACUUUUUCAGAAUUGUUUCGCUUCCUCAAUGACUUUUUCAUUUUUUUCAUUUUCCCGUUUUCUCAAUACUAU